CCCUUAGAUGUCCGGGGCCGCACGCGCGCUACACUGAAGGAAUCAGCGUGGAUGCCUCCCUGGUCCGAAAGGAUUGGGAAACCCGUUGAAUCUCCUUCGUGCUAGGGAUUGGGGCUUGUAAUUCUUCCCCAUGAACGAGGAAUACCUUGUAAGCGCGGGUCAUCAUCCCGCGCUGAAUACGUCCCUGCCCUUUGCACACACCGCCCGUCGCUCCUACCGAUUGAGUGGUCCGGUGAGGCUUUGGGAUCUGAGCGGAAAGAGCGUUUCGCUGUUUCUGCUCGGAAAACUCAGUCGAACCUUAUCAUUUAGAGGAAGGAGAAGUCGUAACA
rnacentral:rRNA from 1 species